rnacentral:lncRNA from 13 species
UAGGGUCCACCCUAAUCCAGUAUGACUUAUCUUAACUGGAUUAUACCUGCAAAGACUCUAUUUCCAAAUAAGGUCACAUUCUGAGGUACCAGAACAAAGAGGGAGCCUCAAAACUAUAUAUACUGCUGACCACACAAAAGCUGGAUAUGCAUUUGGCUCUCACUCAGGGAGCCAGAGCCCCACCCCUCUCUCUGGAAUUAGCACUGAGUUAGGAGAGGCAAACAACCUGGCUGGAGGCUUUUAAAAGAUAAUCCUGGCUGCUUUGUAAAGGAGAAAUUGGAGGAAAGCGAGAAGGAUGUCAGAGACCAGUUUGGAGGCUGUUGUAUUUCAGGUAAAACUGAUGGAGGAUUGGAUAUCAAUGGUAAGUAACAACACAGAAAAGAUGAGAAGAUUUCAUAUGUAGUCUCCUUAUCACAAUCUUAACUGAACUUCAACUUAUGCAAUCCAGGUAUCUCCAUAUACCUAAAUAUACCUAGCCAUUCUUAAAACACAGCCCCCAGGCAGGCAGCAUUGGCAUCACCUGGGAACUCUUCAGAAAUGCCAGUCACAGCCUCCACUCCACACACUGAGCCAGAAACUCUGGGAUGGAGCCCAGAAAUCUAUAUUUUAACAAGCCCUCCAAAAGAUUCUACUAUGUACUAAAGUCUGAGAGCCACUGACUUAGAGGAAUUAAUUAACUGGGGACUUUUUGAAUACAACAAACAUGCAUGGAGAGUUACUGGGCCAUUAGUAUGUAAUUAAAAUACACUUGCUCUGUUGUUAAUAAAACCUGGAAUAACAUAAC